rnacentral:rRNA from 1 species
GACGAACGCUGGCGGCGUGCUUAACACAUGCAAGUCGAACGGAAAGGCCCUGCUUUUGUGGGGUGCUCGAGUGGCGAACGGGUGAGUAACACGUGAGUAACCUGCCCUUGACUUUGGGAUAACUUCAGGAAACUGGGGCUAAUACCGGAUAGGAGCUCCUGCUGCAUGGUGGGGGUUGGAAAGUUUCGGCGGUUGGGGAUGGACUCGCGGCUUAUCAGCUUGUUGGUGUGGUAGUGGCUUACCAAGGCUUGGACGGGUAGCCGGCCUGAGAGGGUGACCGGCCACAUUGGGACUGGGAUACGGCACAGACUCGUACGGGAGGCAGCAGUGGGGAAGAUUGCACUAUGGGCGGAAGCCUGAUGCAGCAACGCCGCGUGCGGGAUGACGGCCUUCGGGUUGUAAACCGCUUUCGCCUGUGACGAAGCGUGAGUGACGGUAAUGGGUAAAGAAGCACCGGCUAACUACGUG